rnacentral:rRNA from 1 species
UACGUAGGGUGCGAGCGUUAAUCGGAAUUACUGGGCGUAAAGCGUGCGCAGGCGGUUCGUUGUGUCGGCGGUGAAAGCCCCGGGCUCAACCUGGGAAUGGCCGUUGAAACUGGCGAACUGGAGUGUGGCAGAGGGGGGUGGAAUUCCGCGUGUAGCAGUGAAAUGCGUAGAGAUGCGGAAGAACACCAGUGGCGAAGGCGGCCCGCUGGGCAGUGGCUGACGCUGAAGCGCGACAGCGUGGGGAGCAAACAGG